UGUCCAUCUGAUGAGUUCAGCCUUUUUCAACUGAUUUUUAUAGUUCGUUCUUAUGUUGUACUGUUAUACCACUGUCCCAGGUUAGGGGGAGAGUUGGGAUCCCGCUAACAUGUUUAACCCCGCCACAUUAUUUAGUAUGUGCCUGUCCCAAGUCAGGAGCCUGUAUAUUCAGUGGUUGUCGUUUGUUUAUGUGUUACAUAUUUGUUUUUCGUUCAUUUUUUUACAUAAAUAAGGCCGUUAGUUUUCUCGUUUGAAUUGUUUUACAUUGUCUUAUCGGGGCCUUUUAUAGCUGACUAUGCGGUAUGGGCUUUGCUCAUUGUUGAAAGCCGUACGGUGACCUAUAGUUGUUAAUGUCUGUGUCAUUUUGGUCUUUUGUGGAUAGUUGUCCCAUUGGAAAUCAU
rnacentral:lncRNA from 1 species